rnacentral:tRNA from 1 species
GGGGGUGUAGCUCAGUGGUAGAGUGCUCAUCUAGCAUGUGUGAGGGUCUGGGUUCUAUCCCAGUAGACCAA